UGGGGAAUAUUGCACAAUGGGCGCAAGCCUGAUGCAGCGACGCCGCGUGGGGGAUGACGGCCUUCGGGUUGUAAACCUCUUUCGCCUACGACGAAGCGAGAGUGACGGUAGUAGGAGAAGAAGCACCGGCCAACUACGUGCCAGCAGCCGCGGUAAUACGUAGGGUGCGAGCGUUGUCCGGAAUUACUGGGCGUAAAGAGCUCGUAGGCGGUUUGUCGCGUCGUCCGUGAAAACUUGGGGCUUAACCCUAAGCUUGCGGGCGAUACGGGCAGACUUGAGUACUGCAGGGGAGACUGGAAUUCCUGGUGUAGCGGUGAAAUGCGCAGAUAUCAGGAGGAACACCGGUGGCGAAGGCGGGUCUCUGGGCAGUAACUGACGCUGAGGAGCGAAAGCGUGGGUA
rnacentral:rRNA from 1 species